CUUCCUGCUUUCAAAGUUGCAAUGAGCGCAGAGCGGUGCGCCCGAGGGGGUUGAAGCGUUGAAAGUGUGUUACCCAGAUUUUAUCUGAGUUAAACACGGGCCGGCCGCUGUGGCUCACGUCUGUACUCCCAGAGCCUUGGGAGGUCGAGGCGGGAAGAUCGCUUGAGCCCGGGAGCUCGAGACCAGACGCGGCAACAUGGCGAGACGCACAUCUCUGCCUUUAAAAAUGAGAGGCUGGCGGUUACCUUUCUUGGGGAGACGCGUCCGACUGCUUCAUUGUGGGGGCCUCAGGAGCGGAGGAUCGGGUCCCGCCCGAGGUGACGCGUAAACCCAGACUCUCAGCAACGCGGGUAGGAAGGACCCUUGAAGUUCCGCGGCGACCACGUCGGCUGAAACCAGCAGCCCAGGACAAGUGGACCAGCCAGCAAGACCCAGACCAUCCAAACCGGCUGAUCCUACGACAGGACCCAGAUGCCAGUGAAAGUGACCACAGCCCUGCUCUAGUCACCCCGGAAGCUGACCAGUCUACGCACGGCCGAAGCUUCGUCAAGGAAGCCUCCACCCCUCGAAUUCCCAGUUCACCGACACCAGCCUGGGGAUCACCUCCUU
rnacentral:lncRNA from 1 species